AGAUAAUAAACAGGAUUCUUUACAAACAGAGGUUGCCUGGGGCAACCCUGGGAAGGUGAGGCCCUGGAUUUCGUGGUCUGGCCUCUGAGAACCUCCUAGCACCCCAGAACUCCCAGACAGAAUGUUAGGUAAUGCCAAUGAGCACAGAUCAAUCAUCUGCACAAUCUGAAGACGGAGCACUUUCCAUGGAGUGCUGAUGAAGUGCCGGGGUCCUAGGCUCCUUCCGGUGUGCCAGCCCUCAGGCAAGUCUCUCAGCCUCAAGGUCCAGGAUGACAACAUCUGUCCAAACAGCAAGAUGGAGAACAGGACAAGAUAGGAACGAAGUAGGAGAGGGGCCAAGGUCUCAUGCUGGCGUCCCGCCAGCCUUUUGACAUGAGUCACCCUUCCGCCACUUUAUAAAAGAAAGAAAUGAAAGCUGAAAACUCGUUAUUCAGUGGGCCCCCGACACCCGCAGACUCAGCUACAUGCGUUUCUUCCUUCCGGCUGGUCAGUGCCUCCGUUCGUGUGGAGCUGCUAUGGAAGCAGGAGCUUGGGAGAGCCAGAGUGACACCAUUUUACACUCAACUCCAUCUUUUUGUUUUGUUUUGUUUUUUAAUUUAGAGACAGGGUCUCCCCAUGUUGCCCGGCUGGUCUCAACUCCUGGUCUUAAGUAAUCCUCCCAACUCGGCCUCCCAAAGUGCUGAGAUUAUAGGUAUGAGCCACAGCACCUGGCCAAUCAACUCCCAUCUUAAAACUAGAAAGGCACACACACAAAAAAAGCUAGAAAAGCACAUUCCUUGCUGGUCACAGCCUAUAGUCGUGGUGUGUUUACAGUUGAGGAAACAGUCUAAAGAUGCCUACAAAGACACCCUCCGACAACAAUGGAGAGUCCACAUGUCCCGAUACCCGUAUCAACAUACGCUCUGAAGAUAAUCAUAGUUACACCUUGAUGUAUUAAUACUUACACACUAAAACGUCAAGGACAGUUUUCUUUAAAUCAACAGAGUAAUAAACUCUCUCAUGCAGUCUGCUCACCCGCAUGUAGACACAGCUUAGUUUAACCUUUACAUCGACAAGACCCCUAUACGAGAAAAACUUAAAACAAAGCCGGGGCAGUCCUCUGCUGGCUUUCUGAGGACGCCCUUCUGUGUAACAGGAUAGCUUUCAAUAAACUCUCUUCUUACUGCA